AUUGAACGCUGGCGGCAGGCCUAACACAUGCAAGUCGAACGAGUGGCGGACGGGUGAGUAAUGUCUGGGAAACUGCCUGAUGGCGGGGGAUAACUACUGGAAAGGGUAGCUAAUACCGCAUACCAUCGGAUGUGCCCAGAUGGGAUUAGCUAGUUGGUGGGGUAAAGGCUCACCUAGGCGACGCUCCCUAGCUGGUCUGAGAGGAUGACCAGCCACACUGGAACUGAGACACGGCCCAGACUCCUACGGGAGGCAGCAGUGGGGAAUAUUGCACAAUGGGCGAAAGCCUGAUGCAGCCAUGCCGCGUGUAUGAAGAAGGCCUUCGGGUUGUAAAGUACUUUCAGCGGGGAGGCGGUACCUGCAGAAGAAGCACCGGCUAACUACGUGCCAGCAGCCGCGGUAAUUC
rnacentral:rRNA from 1 species